CCUACGGGAGGCUGCAGUGAGGAAUAUUGGUCAAUGGCCGCAAGGCUGAACCAGCCAAGUCGCGUGAGGGAUGACGGUCCUAUGGAUUGUAAACCUCUUUUGUCAGGGAGCAAAGGGCGCCACGUGUGGCGCUUUGCGAGUACCUGAAGAAAAAGCAUCGGCUAACUCCGUGCCAGCAGCCGCGGUAAUAUGGAGGAUGCGAGCGUUAUCCGGAUUUAUUGGGUUUAAAGGGUGCGCAGGCGGAAUGUCAAGUCAGCGGUAAAAUUUCGGGGCUCAACCCCGUCGUGCCGUUGAAACUGGCGUUCUUGAGUGAGCGAGAGGUAUGCGGAAUGCGUGGUGUAGCGGUGAAAUGCAUAGAUAUCACGCAGAACUCCGAUUGCGAAGGCAGCAUACCGGCGCUCAACUGACGCUCAGGCACGAAAGCGUGGGUAUCGAACAGGAUUAGAUACCCCAGUAGUC
rnacentral:rRNA from 1 species